GCUAUCCUUAUCUUGGGGUUGCGCUACUGUUCAAUGAACGUCUAGUGAGAGCAGUACUGCUAACACCUACACAACACUUGAGCAUCCUGGGGGGGUUUCGUUCCCCACGUGAGGUGCAAUUUUUGGAACC
rnacentral:ncRNA from 1 species